rnacentral:lncRNA from 1 species
GGUUACUCCGGGUCGAAACCCGAGCAACCCCUGUCGCGACCCCCACUGGCUGCAGAGGGACAGCAGCGGUGCGGGAGGAGGCCAGGGUCCAGCGGGGUCGGGGACCCGCCCGGGAGAGGCCUCGGCCGAGGGAGUGUUAGAGCCGCUGUUCCCUGUCUCAGUCCGUUGGUCCUGGUGCAGCAAUAUCCAUCCCGUGAGCCCGCUUGGAACCUGUGCCCGACGCUUCCCAGUUCCUUCUUGCAGACUCUUAAACUGCACGGUCUGUUGUGGCAUCAAGAAGGCUGCUCGAGAUGAGGUCAAGAGAGUAGCUGCUAAUGAUGAACUGAACUUUUGGAAGGAUUGUCCAUUACAACUGCCUGAUAUUUCAACUACAGAAACCCACUCCUCCAGAAUGACACCAUCAGCCACUUUAAGAACAUUGCUCUUGGAGAAUGUCCUCAAGUGUUCAGUAUUGUCUAGCUGUUUCUGAAGUUUUUAUCCACCCAGAAGCUAGGAUCAAUCCUAGGCAGCAGGACGAAGGGCAGCGGUGGGAAGCAGUGGAGGAUGGGAAGCAUCGCACACGGAGACCCUUGGAGACAACCCAUUCCCCCAGCGGACUCACAGUGGCCCAGGUGGCCACGCCUAGAGAGACCAGUAGUUACUCAGAGUACAAGACAUAAACCAAAAAGAUUUUUACAAAACAGAAACAGCAUCAGCGAAAUCUAACAGAAAGACCUCUGGGGAAGAGAACUCAGGAGGCUCAGAAUCUGGUGACUGCUCUGAAACAGAUUUCCUCGGUGACCUUGGGUGUAGACUUUCAGUGCCUUGUUCUGCGUCUGGAACUUAAGGAGGAUGUGACCUACUUUUUCCCUGUCUCAUUGAAAUGUGAUCAAGAUUAAUGGCCUAACGUAGAAAAUAUUUCCAGUGACAUGAAAGACCAGACUCAUUAUUCAAUGCCUGAAUUAAUAAAUCUGGUAAAAAUCAGUCUAAUUCACUUAAUUCAGGAAAAAUACUUGCUUAAAACCAUGUAAUUUUAGAACUGGGUGUGUAUAAAAAUGAUCUCAUCAGAAUUUUUCAAAAUGUCCCUCAGAUUGAUGGUGAAGUCAGAUUGAGAGAACUGGGCUGCAUCUUAGAGGACACAGACUGAGAACCAUGCACAGUAUUAACGAGGUCACAUAGCUCUGCAUCCGUCUUGCAGGGGUUCACGGACUGCAGCUCUCCGGGGCCACACUAUCAGGUCAAGCUGGGCUUACAACAG